AUACGGAGGAUCCGAGCGUUAUCCGGAUUUAUUGGGUUUAAAGGGAGCGUAGGCGGACGCUUAAGUCAGUUGUGAAAGUUUGCGGCUCAACCGUAAAAUUGCAGUUGAUACUGGGUGUCUUGAGUACAGUAGAGGCAGGCGGAAUUCGUGGUGUAGCGGUGAAAUGCUUAGAUAUCACGAAGAACUCCGAUUGCGAAGGCAGCUUGCUGGACUGUAACUGACGCUGAUGCUCGAAAGUGUGGGUAUCAAACAGGAUUAGAUACCCUGGUAGUCCACACAGUAAACGAUGAAUACUCGCUGUUUGCGAUAUACAGUAAGCGGCCAAGCGAAAGCGUUAAGUAUUCCACCUGGGGAGUACGCCGGCAACGGUGAAACUCAAAGGAAUUGACGGGG
rnacentral:rRNA from 1 species